UAAGCCAGCUGGUGAUUUCCUGCUUAAACCAGUUACGUCACUUUUUCCUUUUUCUCUAGGAGGAUCAUGGAACUAAUCAUAGCUCUGCACUGAUUAUCUGUGUGAGCCUAAGCAUGGACAUGGUUCUGGCUACUGGAAGCUAUUUUUAUGAAACUGAACCCAGUUGCCGUUGAGCUUCUGUAAAAUUAGUGCUAGUACCGACAAAAUUACUGAGAUACCCAAGUGAGAUGAGAGACAAGAAAACAUUUUGCUUACAAGUCAGCUGGGACGAGGAUACCAAGAGAACUGCCUGAUGGAAGGAAUCUGUUUGCUUCUAACUUACGAUGUGAACACCCUCAGCACACUGAUCAAAGCCCAUGGAAACUUCUACAGCCCGAAGGCAGUCUACAGAACAGUGUUUCUGAGAGACAUCUAGACAUAUUUACUCGGCUCCCUAAAAAAAUCCUUAUUAUCAAA